AACGCGAAGAACCUUACCCAGGCUUGACAUGCACUGGACAACACCAGAAAUGGUGUCUUCCUUCGGGACCGGUGCACAGGUGCUGCAUGGCUGUCGUCAGCUCGUGCCGUGAGGUGUUUGGUUAAGUCCAGCAACGAGCGCAACCCUUAUCAUUAGUUGCCAACACGUAAUGGUGGGAACUCUAGUGAGACUGCCUGGGUUAACCAGGAGGAAGGUGAGGAUGACGUCAAGUCCGCAUGGCCCUUAUGUCUGGGGCUACACACGUGCUACAAUGGACGGUACAGAAGGCAGCGAAACCGCGAGGUGAAGCAAAUCCCAAAAGCCGUCCUCAGUUCAGAUUGUAGUCUGCAACUCGACUACAUGAAGACGGAAUUGCUAGUAAUGGCGAGUCAGCAACAUCGCCGUGAAUACGUUCCCGGGCCUUGUACACACCGAGUAUA
rnacentral:rRNA from 1 species